UCAGAGACCCUUUCCACUGUGUGAGCCCUU
rnacentral:piRNA from 1 species